rnacentral:rRNA from 1 species
GAUGAACGCUGGCGGCGUGCCUAAUACAUGCGAGUCGAACGCUUCACUUCGGUGAAGAGUGGCGAACGGGUGAGUAAUACAUAAGUAACCUGGCAUCUACAGGGGGAUAACUGAUGGAAACGUCAGCUAAGACCGCAUAGGUGUAGAGAUCGCAUGAACUCUAUAUGAAAAGUGCUACGGGACUGGUAGAUGAUGGACUUAUGGCGCAUUAGCUGGUUGGUAGGGUAACGGCCUACCAAGGCGACGAUGCGUAGCCGACCUGAGAGGGUGACCGGCCACACUGGGACUGAGACACGGCCCAGACUCCUACGGGAGGCAGCAGUAGGGAAUUUUCGGCAAUGGGGGAAACCCUGACCGAGCAACGCCGCGUGAAGGAAGAAGUAAUUCGUUAUGUAAACUUCUGUCAUAGAGGAAGAACGGUGGAUAUAGGGAAUGAUAUCCAAGUGACGGUACUCUAUAAGAAAGCCACGGCUAACUACGUGCCAGCAGCCGCCGUAAGAC